GAGGGGGACCUUCGGGCCUCUCACUAUCGGAUGAACCCAGAUGGGAUUAGCUAGUAGGCGGGGUAAUGGCCCACCUAGGCGACAAUNCCUACCUGGUCUGAGAGGAUGACCANCCACACUGGAACUGAGACACGGUCCANACUCCUACGGGAGGCAGCAGUGGGGAAUAUUGCACAAUGGGCGCAAGCCUGAUGCAGCCAUGCCGCGUGUAUGAAAAAAGCCUUCGGGUUGUAAAGUACUUUCANCGGGGAGGAAGGCGAUGUGGUUAAUAACCGCAUCCAUAGACGUUACCCGCACAAAAAACACCGGCUAACUCCGUGCCANCACCCGCGGUAAUACGGAGGGUGCAAGCGUUAAUCGGAAUUACUGGGCGUAAAGCGCACGCACGCGGUCUGUUA
rnacentral:rRNA from 1 species